rnacentral:rRNA from 1 species
UACGGGGGGGGCAAGCGUUGUUCGGAAUUACUGGGCGUAAAGGGUUUGUAGGUGGCUUGCUAAGUCAGACGUGAAAUCCCUCAGCUUAACUGAGGAACUGCGUCUGAGACUGGCAAGCUUGAGUGCAGGAGAGGAACGCGGAAUUCCAGGUGUAGCGGUGAAAUGCGUAGAUAUCUGGAGGAACACCGGUGGCGAAGGCGGGUCUCUGGGCCGAUACUGACGCUGAGGAGCGAAAGCGUGGGGAGCGAACAGG